rnacentral:rRNA from 1 species
CCUACGGGAGACAGCAGUGGGGAAUAUUGGGCAAUGGGCGCAAGCCUGACCCAGCAACGCCGCGUGAAGGAAGAAGGCUUUCGGGUUGUAAACUUCUUUUCUCAGGGACGAAGCAAGUGACGGUACCUGAGGAAUAAGCCACGGCUAACUACGUGCCAGCAGCCGCGGUAAUACGUAGGUGGCAAGCGUUAUCCGGAUUUACUGGGUGUAAAGGGCGUGUAGGCGGGGACGCAAGUCAGAUGUGAAAACCACGGGCUCAACCUGUGGCCUGCAUUUGAAACUGUGUUUCUUGAGUACUGGGGAGGCAGACGGAAUUCCUAGUGUAGCGGGGAAAGGCGUAGAUAUUAGGAGGAACACCAGUGGCGAAGGCGGUCUGCUGGACAGCAACGGACGCGGAGGCGCGAAAGCGUGGGGAGCAAAUAGGAUUAGAUACCCGGGUAGUC